rfam:Triticum aestivum genome assembly, contig: Triticum_aestivum_CS42_TGACv1_scaffold_129321_2BL
UUUGUACUCCCUCCGUCCCAAAAUUCUUGUCUUAAAUUUUUCUAAAUACGGAUGUAUCUAGUUACAUUUUAGUGUUAGAUACAUCCAUAUCUAAACAAAUGUAAGACAAGAAUUUUGGGACGGAGGGAAUACUAC